UGACGCUGGCGGAAUGCUUUACACACUGCAAGUCGAACGGCAGCACGGGACUUCGGUCUGGUGGCGAGUGGCGAACGGGUGAGUAAUACAUCGGAACGUGCCCAGUCGUGGGGGAUAACGUAGCGAAAGCUACGCUAAUACCGCAUACGAUCUAAGGAUGAAAGCGGGGGAUCGCAAGACCUCGCGCGAUUGGAGCGGCCGAUGGCAGAUUAGUAGUUGGUAGGGUAAAGGCCUACCAAGCCGACGAUCUGUAGCUGGUCUGAGAGGACGACCAGCCACACUGGGACUGAGACACGGCCCAGACUCCUACGGGAGGCAGCAGUGGGGAAUUUUGGACAAUGGGCGAAAGCCUGAUCCAGCCAUUCCGCGUGCAGGAUGAAGGCCCUCGGGUUGUAAACUGCUUUUGUACGGAACGAAAAGGUCCUGGUUAAUACCUGGGGCUCAUGACGGUACCGUAAGAAUAAGCACCGGCUAACUACGUGCCAGCAGCCGCGGUAAUACGUAGGGUGCAAGCGUUAAUCGGAAUUACUGGGCGUAAAGCGUGCGCAGGCGGUGAUGUAAGACAGAGGUGAAAUCCCCGGGCUCAACCUGGGAACUGCCUUUGUGACUGCAUCGCUGGAGUACGGCACGAGGGGGAUGGAAUUCCGCGUGUAGCAAGUGAAAAUGGCGUAGAAUAUGCGGGCAGGAACACCGAUUGUGCGAAGGGCAAUCCCCCUGGGCCUUGUACCUUGAACGCUUCAAUGCACGAAAAGACGUUGGGGAGCCAACACCCGGAUUCAGGAUACCCUGGUAAUCCAACGACCCCUUAAACGAACUUUCACUGGGUUGUUGGGGUCUUCCACUGGGACGUUCAGAAACAGAAAC
rnacentral:rRNA from 1 species